rnacentral:rRNA from 1 species
CGCGCAGGCGGCCAGGUCAGUCGAAUGUGAAAGCCCCCGGCUCAACUGGGGAGGGUCGUUCGAUACUGCCUGGCUCGAAGAUAGGAGAGGGAAGUGGAAUUUCAGGUGUAGUGGUGAAAUGCGUAGAUAUCUGAAGGAACACCGGUGGCGAAGGCGACUUUCUGGCCUAUUCUUGACGCUGAGGCGCGAAAGCUAGGGGAGCGAACG